GACGAACGCUGGCGGCGUGCUUAACACAUGCAAGUCGAACGGAAAGGCCCAGCUUGCUGGGUUCUCGAGUGGCGAACGGGCGAGUAACACGUGGGUGAUCUGCCCCUAACUUCGGGAUAAGCUUGUGAAACUGGGUCUAAUACCGGAUAGGACAAUCGUUUAGUGUCGUUUGUGGAAAGUUUUUUCGGUUAGGGAUGGGCCCGCGGCCUAUCAGCUUGUUGGUGGGGUAAUGGCCUACCAAGGCGUCGACGGGUAGCCGGCCUGAGAGGGUGGACGGCCACAUUGGGACUGAGAUACGGCCCAGACUCCUACGGGAGGCAGCAGUGGGGAAUAUUGCACAAUGGGCGCAAGCCUGAUGCAGCGACGCCGCGUGGGGGAUGACGGCCUUCGGGUUGUAAACCUCUUUCGACAGGGACGAAGCUUUGGUGACGGUACCUGUAUAAGAAGCACCGGCUAACUACGUG
rnacentral:rRNA from 1 species